UUGUUGGGGAUCCUAGGAGUUCAAACAACCAAACCAACAAUCAACAAAACCAGAUUCAAGGCAAAAACAAAGAAAAACGGGAAUGGAAAAAUACAACCCUUUUUGUUCAGAAAUCUGUCCAGCUUCUUCUUCUUCGUUUCAGCAGCUUCUUCUUCCUUUUAUGGGUGUUUUUUCAGGCUCAGGAACAACCUCCAUGCUAUGCCAAUUGCCUUCCAAAGAGAGAGGGGAAAACCAAUGAAGAACCACCACCCUUUUGCUAAAACGAGAGCUCCACCUUUCUGCUGGAAUGAAAGAGACCGAGAGCUCCUCUUUCUGCUGCUGCUGCUGGGAAUUACUGAGACUGAGAGCUGCCCCCUUAUUCAAAUAUAAAAUGGUAGAGUGUACAUAAUG
rnacentral:lncRNA from 1 species